CCUACAGGAGGCUGCAGUGGGGAAUAUUGGACAAUGGGGGGAACCCUGAUCCAGCCAUGCCGCGUGUGUGAAGAAGGCCCUCGGGUUGUAAAGCACUUUCAGUGAGGAAGAACGCCUGGUGGUUAAUACCCAUCAGGAAAGACAUCACUCACAGAAGAAGCACCGGCUAACUCCGUGCCAGCAGCCGCGGUAAUACGGAGGGUGCGAGCGUUAAUCGGAAUUACUGGGCGUAAAGCGCGCGUAGGUGGCUUGAUAAGCCGGUUGUGAAAGCCCCGGGCUCAACCUGGGAACGGCAUCCGGAACUGUCAAGCUAGAGUGCAGGAGAGGAAGGUAGAAUUCCCGGUGUAGCGGUGAAAUGCGUAGAGAUCGGGAGGAAUACCAGUGGCGAAGGCGGCCUUCUGGACUGACACUGACACUGAGGUGCGAAAGCGUGGGUAGCAAACAGGAUUAGAUACCCGUGUAGUC
rnacentral:rRNA from 1 species